rnacentral:lncRNA from 1 species
CUCCACCCUUCACUCGCCUCAUUGUGCCCAGGCAGCACCAAGGUCAGAAAUUAAUUGGAGACACUGCAAAACACACAGCCUGUAAUAUUUCAGUUCAGUGAGGUCACAAGAAAAACUCAGUUAAAGCCUUAUUAGAGCAGUUUACAGGAGCACAUUACUGCGAAUAUGAAAUGAGAGUCUUGUCUUGAUGGAUGCGUCACCUACCCAAGAUAUUUGUUGAGAAUAAUUUGAAAAUCACCCCCGUACAUGGUUGUAUAUUCUUCGUUGUGGGUCCUUCUAGUUGUGGCAUGUGGGACGCUGCCUCAGCGUGGUUUGACGAGCAGUGCCAUGUCCGCGCCCAGGAUUCGAACCAACGAAACACUGGGCCGCCUGCAGCGGAGCGCGCGAACUUAACCACUCGGCCACGGGGCCAGCCCCUGCAAUUAAUAUUUUUAUCCGGCCCAAGAAUCCUCUACCUACGGCUGGCAGAUGAAGAAAAGAAAUCGGAGGAGGCACACUGUCUACAGGCGGAGAACCGGACGGUGGCCCCCCACAAACCCACUGGGACUCCUGGUGCUAGCACCUCCGGUUUGACAGCCUGAUGCUCAUUUCCUCCGUCUCUGACCCUGUCAUGGAAUCUAACUCAGGCUGCCGAUGUUUCUUACUGCUCUCACUUCCUGUUUGCUACUCAGUAUUGUACCACAUCCUGAUUUCUAUGUUUUCACCUCAGCCUCGUAACCUAAAAAUAACUUUUCUCUGAUGCCCUCCUGGCUUUCUAGGGUUUAAAGUUCUGCCCCACACUCUGACUAAAUAAGUGCACUGCAGCUCCCCAUCAGGAGUAAUGCAUUGAAAUGGAGUAACAGAAAUGAAACACAACAUUCUCCUUUUGUAAAACAGAGCCGUAGGAAUGCUUCCUGGUAUCUAAUACAUUUGGUCGGUCAUGAUAUCACACAGCCGUAUUUCAUAAAAGCCUUUUAUCCAUACCUUUUAGUUAGUGCAUUGACAACAAAAUUUGGUUUAUCCCCCCUACUAUAUUUGUUUAAUCUUUUUUGUCCCCUAUCUACCUUGUAUUGACCAUUACUAAAUGUCAUCUUUUCUAGAUUAACCAAUUUUCUUAGUCAUCUUGUAUAUUAUUCCUGGUUUCUAGAACAGUAACAUUGUUACUUAGUUUAGUAAUAUUUACAAAUUUGUUGAGCAAAUUCUCGGUUAUAUUUUCUAUUAGAUUUAUUCAUUGAAAUUACCAUGAAUUAGAUCAGUACAUCUGCCUAAAGUCUGGAGAAGAUCAAUUAUAUUAAAUAUUUCAAAUAUUUGAAAAUUGGAUUGGAAGAUCUUUCAAUAAUACUAAAAUAUUCUCUCUCUAGAAAUAUAUCUGAGUUACAUCCCAUCAGAGACUUAAAUUCAGACUAGACAAGACAUAAGAAAUGUUAUUUAAAGAAUAUUCUUUUAUUACAUAUAAGAUUAAGUUAACUGACAUAUGAUGUGCUUUUUGUUUUCCACUUUGUGAUUUUAUGAUCCUUUAUUUACAAGGUCUAUAGGAUUUUCAGCCUGAAUGCAAUUCAUUUGUUUGCAUCCAAGUUAUUCUCCUAUUUACACACAGGAGUUUCCAUCCUAAUGCUGAUUUAAUAUUCUUUUUAAAUAUCAUGUUAAAAUCUCAAGGAUAUAAAGGAAAAUAGAUGUAAUAUUUUAAUGCUGGUUUAUGUCCAUAUUCCACUUGAAAUGUAUAUGGAAAGCACAAGAAAAUAGCUCCUUUCACUUCAGAAUGUUUGCCAUGUCUUUGAUAAGAAAACAAGAAGUCGAACUGCAUGCUGGGAUGUUCUGUCUUGAAAACAGUCCAUGUUUUCAUCCAAGGAAUCAUCUGAAGAGACACACAGACAGCUGCAGACUCGUCCCAUAGCUAAGAGUCUUCCAGAGAAUCCUAUGAAGCCACUGCCACAGUCCAUGGGGAAAUGGCUGACCUCUGACCCCGCCUGACAGCCAGUACUCUUGUUAUCCUGCUGUGCAACAAGUCAAAUUAGGCUAUAAUUACUCUGCAGACAACAGGCUGCAAUUAUACAUUCAAGUCUCAGGGUCUGGAAGGAGGGAGAUUGUGGCUGGAAGGGGAUGAGGAGAAGUCAAAAAGUCACAAGACAAACCACUUUUUCAUAUUUUUCUCUAAAAAAGCAUAGCUGUAAUGUGUGCUCCUUAAGAGGAGGAUCAAACCACAGUGGACAGCAACCAUUCUCUUACUCAAAACACCAUGAAGACAUUGCUUUCAAGGACUCUAAUAGAUGGAUACACCAAAGGCUAUGUGACUAUCUAAUAAAUAAAAGGAAGGAAACUCUGUGGUUCCCAGACGUUCCUGUGCAGAUGCUGUUUACUAUUACUGAUUCAUUUUAAUUCAACAAAAAAUUAAUAAACAAUAAUUAGGGACCAGAUUGGGACUGGGAGAAAUAAGAUAUGCACUUAAUAUUUUUCAGUUAUGUUUUAAGAACUACUUUGUUUUCAUUUUUUAAUUUAUAUAAAGUCUAGGUAUGAAGAAAUUUUCAUUAAAGCAGACCACAGUAUUCCGGAAAAAUAUUUCUAAAACCCUAUCUUUAAAUAUGCAAAAUGUUUUACAACAGCAAAUUAUGUAGGUUGAACAGCAUAGAACUGCCCAUAGAAGUCAGUCUGCACUGGCUGCCUUUGAGAUUGUCUGCAAAACUGUCAGCACUUCUGCUCUCCCUAGCCAAGGUUGUAGAUUUACCACAUAAUUUAGAGUUUUCUCAGGAAUGAGAUGGCUUGUAUUUGCUCACCAAAUUUCUGUUGUUUGCUUGUUCUGCCUGUUGAAAUGACUUUAGGACUAAACACCCAUCUCCUAAUGAGGCAAACCAGGCCAUUAAAAAUAUCUUCCUCAUGUUAAAACAGAAGGCUUUGUUUUAGUUAUCAUCCAUUGAUAACUAAACUCUAUGUUUUGUGUACGAGUCCCUGGCCACAUUCCACUUGGAAAAUCUUUUAAUCUUUAAAGACAGUUAUAAUGCUACCCCCCUAACUGGAUAUUCUUUGUUUAUUUUCUCUCUGACAUGAUUUUAACUCUUUUAGCAAUCUCAUAUGGACAAAUAUCCUUAUACUUUAUGGCACCUAGAACUUAAUACAAAAUUCCGGAGGUGUUCUGAUUAAUGCAAAACAGUCUGGCACUGUCCCCUUCAUUGUUCUAUUGUUCUAUUAAUACACUGUGAUCACAGAGUUCUCUGAGCACCCACAUUAAAGUGUUGCCUCUCUUGGAACUUACUACAAACCAAAACCUCAAAGUCUUUUUCACACAUGCUCCAAUGUGUGCUUUUUUCUACACCACCAAGCAAUUAACUCUGACCAAGUAAUUCAUUCUGACACUAUCUACCUGGAGAUAGCAUCAGAUCCCACAGGUUAAAGGCUCAGUUCCACAAGACUGCACUCACUUCAGACUCCAAUAGUAAGUCCAAGAUCUUACCUGUGUUUCUGACUCACUGGCUAUAAAUGGAUGUCCCCACGACCCACUCCUUGGGUUGGAUUAAUUUGCUAUAGCAGCUCACAGAACUCGGAGAAACACUUUAUUUACCAAAUUAUCAGUUUAUUAUAAAAGGAUACACUUUAUUUACCAAAUUAUCAGUUUAUUAUAAAAGGAUAUAAUUCAGGAACAGCCAGAUGGAAGAGAUGUGUAGGGCAAGGUAUGGGGAAAGAGGAACUUCCAUGCCCUCCUCAGGCGCAUCGCUCUCUGAGCACCUCCACGUGUUCACGAACCUGAAAGCUCACCAAUCCCCAUCCUUUUGAGUUUUUAUGGAGGUUUCGUUACAUAGUCAAGAUUGACUAAAUAAUUGACCAUUGGUGAUUGCUUCAACCUUCAGCCCCUCUCCCCUCCCAAGGGGUCAAGGGGAUUGGACUGUAAGUUUUGACCCUCUAAUCACUCCAUUGGUUCCCCUGGCAACCAGUUCCCCAUUCUUAGGUUAUCUAGAGGCUUUCCAAGAAGUCACCUCAUUAACAUAACAAAAGACGCUUUUGUGGCUCUCACCUCUUUUGAAAUUCCAAGGGUUUUAGGAGCUCUGAGACUUGGGUGCCUGGGAGAAAGACCAAAUAUUUAUUUCUCAUGAUAAAUCACAGUACCACACAAGCUAAGCCACAUACAUUGCUUCUCUCAGGUGUUCUCACUUUUCUUUCUUGGAUCCAAGGGUCAGUUCUUACAUUUAUCUUGGUUAAAUUUCAUCUUGUUCAUUUCGACCAAAUAAUGCCAGUUUUCAAUAUCAUUCUAGAUUCCGAAGCUGUCAUUCAAAGUACAAGUGCCCAAUGAAAUGUUAUUAAUGGAAUAAAUUAAGCAAAACUACCAGCAAUACAAAUAAAUGAUUCAUAAUUUCAUACCAAUAGGUUAAAAUUAUAUGACAAUACAAUUACAUCAUUGAAGUAAUGUCCUCUAUAUUUCAUUCAAGGAGAAUAAUUCAACUGAAGUAAAUAAAGCCAAGGUUAACACGAGACUCUUCCACUAAGAUUAUAUUAAUUUAGUGGUAGCAAGUAUGGUCUUGGAGUCAAACUUCUUGUGUUCAUAUAUUGGCAUCUCCUUUUGCUUAUUGAGUGAACUUGGCAAAGUUUACUUACUCUCUAACCCUCAGUUUCCUUGUCUGUAAAACUGGAAUAUACCUCUCAUAGGUUACGUUAAAUAUUAAAUGAGAUAACACAUAUGUUUAGUACAACAUGUGGCACAUGGUAAGUGUUCAGUAAAUGAUAGUUAUUAGAUUAUUAUUAUGUGAACAAUUUUUAAAUAAAAUCCUUCAACUCUUCUCGAAUCUAUUUAGUUGUUUUAAAUCUAGUCCACACUUUCCAAUCUCUUCCACUAAAAUCCCAUAAGAAAAUUUAUCAAGUGCCUUGCUAAUGCCUCUACACGUUCUACACAUUUGUCAUAUAUCUGCUAUAUAUUCCUGAUUAUUCAGUCAGGUAAGCCCAUGAAAGACAGACCUGAGCUCAGUCUGAUAUGACUUUUCCAAGUGUUUUAGGUAAUCUAUGUGAUAAUUAUGGAUUAUUAAUUAUUUGUUAAAUAUUCAUAGUCAUUUAAAUAUCCAUUCCAGAUUUUACCCGGAAUGGAUGUUGAGUUCAUAUGUUUGAAAUAAAUAUCCUUACAAGAAGUUUAAGUUAAUCCAAACUUUUCUUUCUAAAUAUUUAUUCUCACUUAUAGUUCUGUAGCCAAAAAUCUCGAAACUUAUUUUUAAUGACAGGAAGCAGCAAAAGAAAAGUACAGGUAGAAUUUUCUAAUGAUCUAUUAUUCAGCUUCCUCACACACAUUCUUUUUCAAUCAGAUUUCUUCUUCUAGAAACCAGAGUAAGUGUCUAACAUGAACAAAUAUGCAAACUAGCAGAGUUAAUUCGUAGAUUAAUUUCAGGAUAAUGAAUUCAUCCUUAAUGGAGCAAAUUCCAAGACUCAGGAAUAUUUAAUGCUGUGCACUCAGGUAAACAUAGAAAUAUGCCACGUAUACCAGUCUUGGCCAAUAAACCUCCAAAAAUCUGAGGAAAUAUCAUUGUCAUGUACAGUGGAGGGGGCCAAUUCAAAAAGUCUGGGUUUGGCCACUUUCACUUGACUUUAACAUUAUUUCAUCUUGAAGCCUUGUAUUUCUUUCAAUUGACUUUAACGUUUUUUCAUCUUAAAGCCUUCUCUGUAUUUCUCAUAUACGAAAUGAAAUGUGAUGUUUGGAUAAGACGGCAUUGAAACAAAUCUUAAUAUUAAUGACAAAAUUAAUAAUUAUUAUAUAAUUACUAAAGUCCCUUCCAGCUCCAAAAUGUUGUCUUUGAUUUUGACUUUCAUGGACAAAAUAACCCGAAACUAAUUCAGCACAAGUUAACAAACAUCUUUCUUUCUUUCUUUCUUCUUUAAAGAUUGUCCCUGAGCUAACAUCUGUUUCCAAUCUCCCUCUUUUUUUUUUCUUCUCCCCAAAACCCCCAAUACAUAGUUGUAUAUUCUAGUUGUUGGUCCUUCUAAUUCUGUUAUAUAGGACAUUGCCUCAGCAUGGCUUGAUGAGCAGUGCUAGGUCCAUGCCCAGGAUCUGAACUGGUGAAACCCUGGGUGACCAAAAUGGGGUGCCCAAGCUUAACCACUCAGCCCCAGGGCUGACCCCAACAUCUUUCAUCUUGUUCAACAUUGAUAUACCAAUGUUAAUGCAUCUUCCCUGACUACUUAGCAAAACACAUGAAUGUAUAAAGAUAGAGGAUCACAAUUACUGUUUGAGAGCAGACGAAAAGUGAAAAAAAAUUGAUUUUUUUUUUCGAGGAAGAUUACCCCUGAGCUAACAUCUGCCACCAAUCCUCCUCUUUUGCUGAGGAAGAUUGGCCCUGAGCUAACAUCUAUGCCCAUCUCUCUCUAUUUUAUAUGUGGGAUGCCUGCCACAGCAUGGCUUGAUGAGUGGUGCGUAAGUCCACACCUAGGGUUCCAAACCUGCGAACCCUGGGGCCACCAAAGCAAAGCGUACAAACUCAACCACCAUGCCACCAGCCCAGUCCUGAAUUGAUUCCUUAAUUGCAAAACAUCCCUCCAUUAGUCUCCGUUGUUCUUCUCUAGGGAUUCUCUACACUUCAAGAAGUAAAAUUCAAUACUCUCCCCUCCUCCUCUGACCUUGUCUGCUUCCGUCUCCUUCCCUAUGGCCUCUAUUUCCACCUCUGGCUGCAGAAAAAUUAGUAUUUGUGGAAAACAGUACAGCAUGAUUCAAUGAAGAUCUGGAUCAAAGUGAAAAUGGAUGAAUUGUCAUAACCAUGAUUUAUUCAAUCAAAAAGAAAAGAGAAGAGGGAGUAAUGUUGCAGAACCUUCAAUUCUGGUUGUUACUGACUGAAUUCUCUACAGAAGAUAAUGACUUCUCACUCUGGGAGAAAGAAAAUCUCAUCCAUUCAGUUCAUUUGAUCUACGACAAACUUCAGCUGAGGUGGAAAGUGGCAAAUUCAGGAUUCCAACCUUCAUUUUCUCACUUCAACGCCACCACUCCUAACCACCAUCCUGUACAAUGCCCCUAUCGCCAUGGCCUGGGGCCAAGAAGCUGAAUGGAAAAGGACAUUUCUAUUUACUUCAGAGGAAGUUCGUUAUGAAAUAAGGAUCAUCCUUGAAUACUCCUUUCUCCAUGGUCACAAGAUUGUUACAAAGAGGUGACAUAAAGUACCUCUCCUGAUUAUGAUUCUGGACUGCCUGUGUUCAAACCUCAGCUCUGUGACUCCUGAUGAAUAGUUCAAUUCUUCUGUUUCCCUACAUGUAAAAUGGGUACAGCAAUAGUGCCUGCCUCAUUGGUCACUGUGAUGAUUAUAAAUGUAAUGCCCUCAAAAUCGCAUAUGGCACUAACCAUGCCAUCAAGUACGUGCAUGCCCUCAACUAGCUCACAGCUUUGACAUUUCAAGACAAAAAUAAGGCUUUCCCACAAUUUUCAUUUAGUGUUUAAUUUCCAUUUCAUGUUACAUCAAUUACAUUUUUCUAAGACAGAAAAUAUGCCAAGUGCUAUAAAAUAUAUAUUAUGCUCAAUAUGAGCUCUGAAAGGACAUUACUUUAAAGCAAAAGUGCUUACAAAGAAAUAAAUGUUUAGAAAGCAUAUUCUGAAAAGAGCCAGCUAUUACAAUGAUAUAAAGAUAUGUGCAAUGCACUCUAAUUUUCCAUUUUUAGAAAUUGCAAAGCAUGUUAUGUCUUGACACGAGCCUGGUAAAGAUCUCGUUCCGUUCCCCUCACUUUUUUCAAAUAAUUAUGGGUUCCAACUUCUUUUCUAUUACUGUAAUUUAAAAUAUCAAGGCAUGAAACAUAAGUAAUAAGAUGGAGUUUCUUUGUAUUCUCUGGACUUUUGCUUUAAAGAUGGAGAAUAAAGCAAAAGAGUUAUAAGGAUAGAAAUUCACUUGCGACCACCUGGCUGUGAAAAGCCUGAAUGUGCUGGAGUGAUUGGGUGGUCCUGGGGGCCACCCACUCAGUUCAGGCUGAAGAGGGUAAGAAAGGAAAGAAAAGAAGGAAAGAGACCCUUUUGUCCUUCUGUGUCCCCUGCUGCCUGCAUGUUCUCUCUGUAGCACUUCUCAAUGGAAUAUUAUCUAGGUCUUCUUUUCCUUUCUGCUUUAGCUCUGUCUCUUAGCCCAUUUAAAGUUCCUCUCUCUCACCUUUUAGGGCCUUAAGGUCUUAUACUUUGACAGACAAAAUUUUAAAAAUAUAAUUAUUAUAAGUCAUUCCUGGAAAUACAAUGCCUUACCCAAAAGAAUUACUUUCUAGUGGUAGAAAUCUGGCACGUGGCAGAUAGUGGGAAAGCUAUCUUAGGGAAGGGGCCCCCUGAGCUCACUGUGAUGGCUUCCCUGGUCUGCUGUGGUGACGGACUGGGCUAGUUACAACAUCUGAGAGAAGUAGCAACAGGAGAGAAAAGAAAAUAGGAGAAGAAGAGAACUUUAUUUUUCGCUUACUACACAUAAAAUGUUUCUUUCUUCUCCAACGGGAGGCGUGAGAAGAGGAUGUGCUUCACACCUGCAGUGAUUCGGGAUGGGCUGGAGCGGGGAGGGGGUCUGACUGUUACCUAACACGUCUCUAGGUGUAUUUUGUUGUGAAAAGCUUUGCCUAUAUUGCUUUAAAAAAAGAAAGAGAAACUCACACUUUUCUCUCUUUGUAGUUGUCGUAUCUGGAUAAUGGUCAUAU